GUUUAAAUAGCUUAAAAUAAAGCGUAAUAUUGAAGAUAUUAAAAUAGCAUAAUGCUUUUGAGCA
rnacentral:tRNA from 1 species